rnacentral:rRNA from 1 species
AGAGUUUGAUCCUGGCUCAGAUUGAACGCUGGCGGCAUGCCUUACACAUGCAAGUCGAACGGCAGCACGGGGGCAACCCUGGUGGCGAGUGGCGAACGGGUGAGUAAUACAUCGGAACGUGUCCUGUAGUGGGGGAUAGCCCGGCGAAAGCCGGAUUAAUACCGCAUACGAUCUACGGAAGAAAGCGGGGGAUCCUUCGGGACCUCGCGCUAUAGGGGCGGCCGAUGGCAGAUUAGCUAGUUGGUGGGGUAAAGGCCUACCAAGGCGACGAUCUGUAGCUGGUCUGAGAGGACGACCAGCCACACUGGGACUGAGACACGGCCCAGACUCCUACGGGAGGCAGCAGUGGGGAAUUUUGGACAAUGGGCGCAAGCCUGAUCCAGCAAUGCCGCGUGAGUGAAGAAGGCCUUCGGGUUGUAAAGCUCUUUUGUCAGGGAAGAAACGGUCUUGGUUAAUACCUGGGGCUAAUGACGGUACCUGAAGAAUAAGCACCGGCUAACUACGUGCCAGCAGCCGCGGUAAUACGUAGGGUGCAAGCGUUAAUCGGAAUUACUGGGCGUAAAGCGUGCGCAGGCGGUUUUUUAAGACAGGUGUGAAAUCCCCGGGCUUAACCUGGGAAUGGCAUUUGUGACUGGAAGGCUAGAGUGUGUCAGAGGGGGGUAGAAUUCCACGUGUAGCAGUGAAAUGCGUAGAGAUGUGGAGGAAUACCGAUGGCGAAGGCAGCCCCCUGGGAUAACACUGACGCUCAUGCACGAAAGCGUGGGGAGCAAACAGGAUUAGAUACCCUGGUAGUCCACGCCCUAAACGAUGUCUACUAGUUGUCGGGUCUUAAUUGACUUGGUAACGCAGCUAACGCGUGAAGUAGACCGCCUGGGGAGUACGGUCGCAAGAUUAAAACUCAAAGGAAUUGACGGGGACCCGCACAAGCGGUGGAUGAUGUGGAUUAAUUCGAUGCAACGCGAAAAACCUUACCUACCCUUGACAUGGCUGGAAUCCUUGAGAGAUCAGGGAGUGCUUGAAAGAGAACCAGUACACAGGUGCUGCAUGGCUGUCGUCAGCUCGUG